AGUGAACGCUGGCGGCAGGCCUAACACAUGCAAGUCGAGCGGCAGCGCGGGGGCAACCCUGGCGGCGAGCGGCGGACGGGUGAGGAAUUCGUCGGAAUCUGCCUUUUUGUGGGGGAUAACGUAGGGAAACUUACGCUAAUACCGCAUACGUCCUACGGGAGAAAGUGGGGGACCGCAAGGCCUCACGCAGAAAGAUGAGCCGACGACCGAUUAGCUAGUUGGUGGGGUAAAGGCCCACCAAGGCGACGAUCGGUAGCUGGUCUGAGAGGAUGAUCAGCCACACUGGGACUGAGACACGGCCCAGACUCCUACGGGAGGCAGCAGUGGGGAAUAUUGGACAAUGGGCGCAAGCCUGAUCCAGCAAUGCCGCGUGUGUGAAGAAGGCCUUCGGGUUGUAAAGCACUUUUGUCCGGAAAGAAAUCCCUGGAGCUAAUACCUUCGGGGGAUGACGGUACCGGAAGAAUAAGCACCGGCUAACUUCGUG
rnacentral:rRNA from 1 species